GUACUGGAGGACAGGUGGCUGCAUGGCUGUCGUCAGCUCGUGUCGUGAGAUGUUGGGUUAAGUCCCGCAACGAGCGCAACCCUUGCCUUUAGUUGCCAGCAGUUCGGCUGGGCACUCUAAAGGGACUGCCGGUGUUAAACCGGAGGAAGGUGGGGAGUGACGUCAAGUCCUCAUGGCCUUUAUGACCAGGGCUACACACGUACUACAAUGGCCGAUACAAAGGGCAGCGACACUGCGAGGUGAAGCCAAUCCCGUAAAAUCGGUCUCAGUCCGGAUUGGAGUCUGCAACUCGACUCCAUGAAGUUGGAAUCGCUAGUAAUCGUGGAUCAGCAUGCCACGGUGAAUACGUUCCCGGGCCUU
rnacentral:rRNA from 1 species